CCUCCUCGGACGCCGCAUCGGGCGCGCGCCCUCCGCCCUUUCAUCUCAGACACAGUCGGCCAGGGUCCUCCGUGCUUUAUUAAUGCGCGUGACCUGUCACUAAGCCGUGAGAAAUUCGCGCGCGAAUCGUGAAUAAUGAAGUCGACGCACGGGCCUAUGACGCACCGGAUCGGAGAGCACCUUCAGAGACGUAAAGGCAGUGUUAACGUUUGAUUUAGUUCGUGAAACAACCCUUUAACUGGUUAUGUGGUUGGGCUUCUUUUUUACGAGACUUGUCGUGAUGGUAAUUGUCACUGUCUGAAGUCAGUCUGCCGUGGAAGCCCGUUUGUGGAGACGUCUCCAUCCGUUGCUCCGCCGAUGAAGCAGGGCCGUUCCACCUUCCUGUGAGAGACCUCCAGAGGUCUCCUUCUCCAGCCCUCCGGCCGGCACGGCGACGUUAGGGAGCCCGGCCCUGCGACGCGACCAGGGAGAGGGCUUUCUCAACACCAUGGUAGACCCUUGAGCUGGUCUGUCUGGAGGCACUCUACCUAGGAGCACCUGCACUGAAGACCUGGGAAGACGAGAGAGAGAGAGAGAGAGAGAGAGAGAGAGAGAGAGAGAGAGAGAGAGAGAGAGAGAGAGAGAGAGAGAGAGAGAGAGAGAGAGAGAGAGAGAGAGAGAGAGAGAGAGAGAGAGAGAGAGAGAGAGAGAGAGAGAGAGAGAGAGAGAGAGAGAGAGAUUGUGUUCACAGUGUGAUAAUGUAUUUUACUGUGUGCUGAAAGGACUGCACAAAGGACGACCAAGAGGGAGAGAGAGAGAGAGACAAGCAGACAGAUAGACGGACAGGCUGCCAAACAAACGGACAGGACAGAUACACAGACGGAGCAAACAGAAAGACAAACAGACAGACGGACAUACAGAACUCCGAACAGAGAAUGACUUUUACACCGGUGACCCUGACGAGGACAGAAAAACAGACACAGCGCGAGUUGGUCGCCCUAGACUGACGGAGAGACCCCCCC
ensembl:lncRNA